GCUGUCGACUGAAUCCAGGGCCCGGCUCCCCCAGGAAAGCAGCCUAGCGAGCUACGCCGUGGGUGCGGCCUCGCCGCCCCGCCCUCCCCGCCUGCACAGCCGCGCUGCACAGCCGCGCAGGCAUCAGCUGGCCUGCACUCGCCAGCCUCCCACGCACCGGGAUCCCUGUGCCACUAGUCCGUCCCUUUUUGACACGCGAUCGAUUUCUGCUCAUUGAAACGCAAGCUAGAAGGCAACACCCGCAGAUGGACCUCCGCACUCACUGUCCCCUUCCCCAAACCCUCCCGAAUCCGCAGGAGCCGCGGGAAGUCGUUACGGACAGCGAGGUUCGCACGCGGCUUCCCCGUCUCCAGUCACCCGAAGCCGCCUGCUCCUCGGCUGGGGCUCUGGGCGGAGGACGUGAGGCAGGGAGACCCAUCCUCCUGGGUGCCCUGCAGGAAGGAGCCUCGCCACUCCUACAGGACUUUCUGGCCGGGCACAGUCAUCCUCUCUCGCCCAUGACUCUCACUCCCGUCGGACCCUUCUGCUCCCUCUCAAGGAGGAGCAUCGGAAAGCAGGUCCUGGAGAUAGGCCUGUGUGGAUGUCCUCACUAUCCCAAGAUCAGACCCAGAGUGAACAGCUGUCCUGCCUCUUCUUCCGCUUUGUGUGCAGCUCCCCAGCAGGCGGGAGAGAUUCCAAUCCUCCCUACCUGGUAAGCUUAUCCUAAAGAACUCAUUUCUGCAGGACCUGGACAAAACUCCGUUUGUUAUCCGUAAGUAUGGUUUCAUUGGC
rnacentral:lncRNA from 1 species